UACGAAGGGUGCAAGCGUUGUUCGGAUUUAUUGGGCGUAAAGCGCGCGCAGGCGGAAAAGCAAGUCAGAUGUGAAAUCUCGGGGCUUAACCCCGAACGUGCGUCUGAAACUACUUUUCUAGAGUAAUGGAGGGGGAAGGGGAAUUUCACAUGUAGGGGUAAAAUCCGUAGAGAUGUGAAGGAACACCAGAGGCGAAGGCGCCUUCCUGGCCAUUUACUGACGCUGAGGCGCGAAAGCGUGGGGAUCAAACAGG
rnacentral:rRNA from 1 species